CUGAACUUAAGCAUAUCAAUAAGCGGAGAA
rnacentral:rRNA from 1 species